rnacentral:rRNA from 1 species
CCGAAUACCUACAAGUGCCGAGCAUGGGAGACACACGGCGGGUGCUAACGUCCGUCGUGAAAAGGGAAACAACCCAGACCGUCAGCUAAGGUCCCAAAGUUAUGGUUAAGUGGGAAACGAUGUGGGAAGGCUUAGACAGCUAGGAGGUUGGCUUAGAAGCAGCCACCCUUUAAAGAAAGCGUAAUAGCUCACUAGUCGAGUCGGCCUGCGCGGAAGAUGUAACGGGGCUCAAACCAUACACCGAAGCUACGGGUAUCACGUAAGUGAUGCGGUAGAGGAGCGUUCUGUAAGCCUGUGAAGGUGAGUUGAGAAGCUUGCUGGAGGUAUCAGAAGUGCGAAUGCUGACAUGAGUAACGACAAUGGGUGUGAAAAACACCCACGCCGAAAGACCAAGGUUUCCUGCGCAACGUUAAUCGACGCAGGGUUAGUCGGUCCCUAAGGCGAGGCUGAAAAGCGUAGUCGAUGGAAAACAGGUUAAUAUUCCUGUACUUCUAGUUAUUGCGAUGGAGGGACGGAGAAGGCUAGGCCAGCUUGGCGUUGGUUGUCCAAGUUUAAGGUGGUAGGCUGGAAUCUUAGGUAAAUCCGGGGUUCUAAGGCCGAGAGCUGAUGACGAGUUACCUUUUAGGUGACGAAGUGGUUGAUGCCAUGCUUCCAAGAAAAGCUUCUAAGCUUCAGAUAACUAGGAACCGUACCCCAAACCGACACAGGUGGUUGGGUAGAGAAUACCAAGGCGCUUGAGAGAACUCGGGUGAAGGAACUAGGCAAAAUGGCACCGUAACUUCGGGAGAAGGUGCGCCGGUGAGGGUGAAGGACUUGCUCCGUAAGCUCAUGCCGGUCGAAGAUACCAGGCCGCUGCGACUGUUUAUUAAAAACACAGCACUCUGCAAACACGAAAGUGGACGUAUAGGGUGUGACGCCUGCCCGGUGCCGGAAGGUUAAUUGAUGGGGUUAGCUAACGCGAAGCUCUUGAUCGAAGCCCCGGUAAACGGCGGCCGUAACUAUAACGGUCCUAAGGUAGCGAAAUUCCUUGUCGGGUAAGUUCCGACCUGCACGAAUGGCGUAACGAUGGCGGCGCUGUCUCCACCCGAGACUCAGUGAAAUUGAAAUCGCUGUGAAGAUGCAGUGUAUCCGCGGCUAGACGGAAAGACCCCGUGAACCUUUACUAUAGCUUUGCACUGGACUUUGAAUUUGCUUGUGUAGGAUAGGUGGGAGGCUUUGAAGCGUGAACGCCAGUUUGCGUGGAGCCAUCCUUGAAAUACCACCCUGGCAACUUUGAGGUUCUAACUCAGGUCCGUUAUCCGGAUCGAGGACAGUGUAUGGUGGGUAGUUUGACUGGGGCGGUCUCCUCCUAAAGAGUAACGGAGGAGUACGAAGGUGCGCUCAGACCGGUCGGAAAUCGGUCGUAGAGUAUAAAGGCAAAAGCGCGCUUGACUGCGAGACAGACACGUCGAGCAGGUACGAAAGUAGGUCUUAGUGAUCCGGUGGUUCUGUAUGGAAGGGCCAUCGCUCAACGGAUAAAAGGUACUCCGGGGAUAACAGGCUGAUACCGCCCAAGAGUUCAUAUCGACGGCGGUGUUUGGCACCUCGAUGUCGGCUCAUCACAUCCUGGGGCUGAAGCCGGUCCCAAGGGUAUGGCUGUUCGCCAUUUAAAGUGGUACGCGAGCUGGGUUUAGAACGUCGUGAGACAGUUCGGUCCCUAUCUGCCGUGGACGUUUGAGAUUUGAGAGGGGCUGCUCCUAGUACGAGAGGACCGGAGUGGACGAACCUCUGGUGUUCCGGUUGUCACGCCAGUGGCAUUGCCGGGUAGCUAUGUUCGGAAAAGAUAACCGCUGAAAGCAUCUAAGCGGGAAACUUGCCUCAAGAUGAGAUCUCACUGGAACCUUGAGUUCCCUAAAGGGCCGUCGAAGACUACGACGUUGAUAGGUUGGGUGUGUAAGCGCUGUGAGGCGUUGAGCUAACCAAUACUAAUUGCCCGUGAGGCUUGACCAUAUAACACCCAAGCAAUU